CUCUUCAGUUACUCCAGCCUGUACAAUUGGCGCACCUUUUUGCUUUUGGGAAGGUUUUUUGUCCUUAAAUUUUUCUAAAGGGUCUGAGAAGACUGAGCGGCAGGAGUUGGAUAGCGUGAGGGGACUGCUGGGAAAAUUAUGAGUAAACCACUCUGCCUGCUUCUCAGUUAGCUCUUGGCUAAACUGCACCUCAACUUUAUUUGUCUGUCUUCGCUCUGUAUCCCUUGGUAUCAUCAUCGAACAAAAUUCCAUCCACCUUUGCUGUGUAAACCCCGAAUAGCCUAACAGCUCCAGGCUUCUAUUGUCUUCUCUGUGAAGAAAUGUUCUGCUCUUGAAUGACUGCAUGCUAUUUUUUCAAGAGUAUGUCCCUUUGUUCCUGAACCAACCAACAGGCUAAAGCAGUUUGCCUCUAUUCUAUCAAAUCCUUUUAACAUUUUAAACAUCGCAAUCAAAUCAUUUCCACACUCAGCUGGAUGGCUGGCUCACAAUGCAGAAUGACAGCAACAGUGUGUAUUCAAUUCCUGCACUGGCUGAGAUUAUCAUGAAGAACUAAUCUUCUCAGACUCACCCUUUGCCGAAG